CUGAUACGGCACAGUACAAUAUGAGACGAUGGAAUGCAAUGGGAUAGAUGGUAGAGGGCUGCCUGCACCCAAAAGCGAUGGCUUUGGGAGUGUGAGAUAGGCAGACGGGGAGUACGCAGCCGAACAACCGCUGGGGUUUCCAGCAGUGAUAGCUGAACUAAUCAGAUGGGCCGCCCCAAACCUUACGCUGACAUUUUAAUCGGAAAUCAACAUCGGGUCCCGGCUAUCCGAAAAACGCAGACUGAAGCGGAAGAUCACAAAAUGCAACACAACAAGGGGGUCGUUAGACCGUAGCUUGCGCGAAGGAAGAAGCUAAU
rnacentral:lncRNA from 1 species